UACGUAGGGGGCAAGCGUUGUCCGGAAUCAUUGGGCGUAAAGCGCGUGUAGGCGGCUGAGUAAGUCUGCUCUGAAAGCCCGGGGCUCAACCCCGGGAGGCGGGUGGAUACUGCUCAGCUCGAGUCCGGAAGAGGAGUGUGGAAUUCCUGGUGUAGCGGUGAAAUGCGCAGAUAUCAGGAGGAACACCAAUGGCGAAGGCAGCACUCUGGGACGGUACUGACGCUGAGACGCGAAAGCGUGGGGAGCAA
rnacentral:rRNA from 1 species